rnacentral:tRNA from 1 species
GCGCUCGUAGUUUAAUGGAUAGAGCGCCGGCCUCCGGAGCCGGUGAUUCCGGUUCAAGUCCGGACGGGCGCG